CUUUCGGUUCACGAAAGCCAUUUCAGUGUCAGCCGGGGCAAGCAAAGGAACCCAGCGUCAGCCCUGCAGCAGCCAGAAAAGGAAACUGCAGCCAGGAACGCCCCACCCUGCAGGGCCCCUGUGGCCACCACACCUGCCCUCAGACCCACACAGACACCACAGAAGAGGGAGCCCCGCCGCCCUCAAGUUUCCUGGGCUCAUUCUCGACACCCACUCUCACUCCGCCUGACCUGGCACUUGCUCUCCCAGCUCCGGUUGCCCUGCCUUUCUGGGUUUGACCCCUGCCAGUUCCCUGCUCUCGUCUUGAACCCACUCAAAAGUAACUCCGAUCAAACACCCAUGGCACGACUUUUACGGCCCCUGGUGCCUCCGCUGCCCCUGUCAGUGGGGCCGGCAACUGGGUGCCGCUGAAGAAGCCUCCUCCCUCUUCUGGGUGCUGUGUUGGCUUCCGGGGUGGCAUUUCCUCCUUCCCUCUCUAUUUCUUUUAUUUUUUGUUUUGUUAUAGCUGGGGAGGAGCAGUCUUUGAGGAGUUUUUGAGUGAACACGCCAUAUGCCUGUUUCAUCACGAGUGCAAAUCAGCAGGAGGAAAAAGGAUGUCCUUAAAGUGACGUGAAGCCAUCAAAGGAGCUCUCAGGCCCCCCUUCAGAAGGCAAAGGGAAAAAAAAAAAAAACAAAACACCUGAGCAAGUUCCUGACAUCAACAUCUGAAUCUUCCUCCUCUGAAUGCUGUAGAGAUGAAACGUUUCUCUGUCUGCUCUGAGCCUCAGUUUCUUUUUUUCUAAAAUGAGGACGAUGACGAUUCCAGCGUAGGCAACUUCGUCGGGUUGCUAUCUGGACCGCAGCAGGUACUGGAUGUGAAAGUACUCGGUAGGCGACGCAGCCCCAUGCACCUGACAGGGGCGGCCCACGUCAGGUCUCAGCCACGUUCUGGGUUGAGGUCUGUGUAGCCUCAACUAGGUCAUUCCUGGCUGGGCGAAGCAGCCCCCUGCAACGGCCCCUGAGUUUCCAGGACUGGAAAACAGAUGAAUUCCACGUGAUCCCUUUCCUCAGGCUUUUCUCCCAGAUGGGGUGUGCCUUGCGGGUGGUGAGGAAGCUUGAGGAAUGCUCCAGGGUCCCUUUACGGGAAGUCUCCAGAUGCGAUCUCCUGUGGCAAACACCUGACCUGAGGACCCCAACCCCCGUCAUCGCCCUGUUAGAGGAGGCAGACUGUGGGAGGUCAUGUGGUGCUGCAUACGUGACGUUGCCUCCCCACGCAGGCAGGAAAAAGAAAGUCCUAAAGGGCACAUAGUUAUUAUUCUGAUUUCAUAGACGAAGAAACCGAGGAUAAGAAGGGUUAAGCUCCUCCUUCACAUUUGCACGGCUAGUGAGAGGGAGAUGUGGCAUUUGAACUUGGGGCAGCCUGACUGCAAAGCCUUGACUGGUUCCUGUAUAUCACCACGUGUGAUACAAUGGUUGUCACGUGUGUAAUAAUGCUUGUCUCACAAGAUGGAAAACUGCAGAGGGUCCGUGAAAGACGGACGGAUAAUGUGCCCGUGCAGUUUUAGAGGAGGGAGGGAUCACUUCCGGUUGGAGAAAUCCAGGAAACCUUCAUUGAGGAGGUGGCUUUUGCCUCCAGGUCUUGAAGAAUAGGCCAGAUUUGGACAUUCAGAGAUGCCUAUUCUUCCCGUCAGUUGUCCCUUCUGCGGGCUGUGUGGCUGGCUUCCCACAUCUGGUGAAUCUUCGCAAAAUCCAUUUAGUCCCCAGCCUCAUCCUCGUUCUCACUGUCCCCGCACAAGAGAAGUCCCGGAAUACCGGGAACGGGAGAAGAAGUCACUCUGAACUGGGUUCGACUAAAGAACCUUCCUGGAACAGGCCCUGGGGAGAGGUCUGAUGCGACUCGACUUAAGUGCCAGUUCUCGAGUGAGCCUUCCCUGCCCUCCCAGACUAGACCGUGAACCCCGAUUUCAUGUACUUAUCACAAGAGUUACGAUGUUCCGCGGGGUCGGUGUCCUGGGGACCCCGUGCUCCAGACUUCCCCUGUCAUGCCGUGUGCAUGAAUCACACACUUUUCUUCCUGGAUUGUCCUGAGUAUUGAGGACUGAUGGAAAGUUACAGCGUUUUCUCUCUGGCUGUCUACGAAAGACAUCCCAAAGUCUGCGUGAUUACGUCGAGUCAUGCAAGGAUUCUGGUGGGGUGUCCGGCCUAUCAGUGUUUGGUGCGUAUUUGACGAAUUAAUGAACGAGCGAGCACAUUCACGCAAGAUGGGAGGACUCUAGAAAGCUCCUUCCUCGCACAGACAUGCCCAGGUGGUAGGAGCGGUGAGCCCGGCCCGUGCCUGGGGAAGGAGUCUGCGGUGGUGACGAAGGAGGGGGAAAUACAGUAGGUGGGGGCGGGCGGGGCGAAGCCGUGAAAAUUAGGAGUGGGUGUAAGCGCCAGGGCGCAGCGUGCAGCCAGCCACAGAAAUCGGGCCUCUGCUGGCCCCUGUGCAUAAUUAGUAGCCAGAAAUAGCACCUGAUCGGUGGCCCGGAACGAGCAAGUGUGUUUCCGUGCGGGUCCUCAUGUCUCCACAGCACUGCCCUGCUUUCUUCUUCCUUUCAGACAACAACUAUUUGCAUCCCAAGUGAUGGGUGUCCCAUUCUUUCCAAGCACCAUUCUCCACAGGGAUAGAUGGAAACAGCUGGAACGGAGGGGGGAGACUUUGGCUGUAAACCUAGACAGAGGUUCUCUUCUUCUCUCUGAGCCUCAGUUUCCCCAUCCACAAGACGGGAACCACGUUUGGGCUUCCCCGAGGCUCGACCGAUGGUGUGGACGGCAGCGCCUUGGCAGGUGGGAAGAGGAUACCAGAGGUGCCUGGAGCCCCCUUUCCAGUCUUCAGGGCUGGGAAGACCAAGAUCAAGGUGCCAGCAAAUCCAGAUCGCUGUCCGUCGGGAACCCUCCUCUUGAUUUGAAGGCUGUGUCCUCACAUGGCAGAGAGAGAUGUCCUCCUUAUAAGGGAAGAAAAGGGGACAUCUUCGGUGGGGCAGCCAAUGCAACUUCCACGGUAUUUUUCGGCCGGCUGGGAGCCCACGCUUGUGUAAUGCCGUCAGGACAGCAUGCAGAGAAUGUCACUCACUGCAGGACCCCACUGACACCAGGGCAGUCACGAUAUAGCCAAACCCCAUGCCAAGGGACACCAAAGACGAAAGCCUCCGUGGGCCACAUCAUUCGCCUGCAACAUCCCUCAAAGUGUAGUGGCUUGUAUACCUGGUCACUGUUAGUAGUGGGCAUAGAGAGAUGACAGACACAGAUUCUUGUCCUCCGGCCAUAAAACCAGCUGCCUAGAAUUUGGCGAAGUGACCAGUUUUGCUGAAAUAAAAACCUCGGUUUUACGUGGAAGUGAUUCACUGCUCUGCAUCCAACAUCAACAUGCUUCCUGCUUCCCCUGUGUCUUUAAAUCCAGAUGUUGGCUUAAUACAUCCACAGAGCACCUCCCACAUGCUGAGCACCGGGUUCGGUGCUGAGAGGGAUCCAGAGAUAAUCCGUGAGGGCCGAGGGCCCGGGAGCUCACGGUCCACGAUGGAGAUGCCACCCGUGUCCAAUGACGGAGCAGACUGUCACCAGCCCUCUCGGUGGGGCCCCCCAGACCAGAGCCACUGGGAAAGAGCACAGACGUGCCAAAGAACCAUCAGACUCAGAGCUGGCAAAGUGUCUUUAGGGCUUUGCUCUCCAGUGGGUUGGGCCAACCUUCUCGAGGGGUCCUUGCCGCAAGACUCCCUAAGGUUCUGAGUGGCCUCGGUAGCUGGUGUUUGACAGGCAUAUGGGGAGAGGCCCAUGCCUGCUCUCCCAGAAUUCUGUGUUCCUCUGUAUCCUUGGCAGGGUCAGAAGACAGAAACCAUUUCUCACAGUCUCGGCAAAUGUCAGCCCCGGAAAAGGCCCCGAAGAGGGUUUACUCCAGUCUCCCUCAUUUGUGGCAACUGAGGCCCAAAGAAGGAAAGGAUGCAGCCUAUCUUGGAGAACUAAGGGUUUACAUUAUUGCUUUUUAAGGUAUCCGAAGAAGAACACAGAGCCGGACGAGGGCCCUGCCGCCUGCGGCACAUUCACAGAGAUACUCUGUCAAGGGAAGGAAGGGAAAAAACAACAGCGAACAAGCCAUCUAUUCUUGUCUGCGCCAUUUUCCCAUGUCAGGAGCAGACUGUGCUGAAAAAUUUAGGUUUUCUGCUUUCAUGCUUCCUUUCACUGCACUCUGGACAAAAUGCCUUUCUUUUCCCCCCUUUUCUUUGGCGGGAUCCUGACCAAGGCUGUAGAAAAAGAAUCUUUUUAAGAACAUAUAUAUCUAUCUAUCGAUAUACAUUCAGCCCCUGACAGUGACACGGAACUGUAGUGCCUCUUAAUUACCCAGGAAGUGACAAGGUCAAGAGGUGUCUGAAAGCCGCCUUGUGCUUCUGGGCAUUGGUUUCUCACCAUUGUCGCCGCUUCACAAGCUGGAGUGGGGGCCAUGGCGCCUGGUUUUUGUCCACUGUUUGGAGUUCUUCCUUUCUUCCUUCCUCCCUUUUUUUUUUUUUUUAAAUUUGAAAAGAAACUUCUGGCAUUUGGGGUAUUGAUUGAAAAUUCGUAAAGGCAGGACGCGUUUCGGGUUGGCUGACCAGUGAUAAUUGCUGCUUGCGCACUUGGGGGGGGGGGGGGUCAGCUUCCCGCAGCAACACCCUCUCCUGAUGCCCCCAUUCUCUGGCUCCUCUCCCACUUUCUUCCUAUUAUCUCUGGGCUUUCCGGGAGAAAAUGACAAUUAAAGAGAAAUGUUCAUGCCCA